UCUCUCUGAAUCUGCGAACGGCUCCGCACACCAGUUGUAAACCAAAGCAAGCAAGCCCGGUCUCGACGCCUUUCGGGGCUAGAGUCCGGGCUACAAGGAUAACCCUGGUAAUUCUGAGGCUAAUACUUGACACGGAACCUGCUGACUGGGCCUCGGUCCGGGAGGUAGGGGAUGUGCGACCAUCGGGCCAAAGAAACCGGAAAGAGCGCACGUUCAGACCACUUAAAAAGGCCACGGGGUCCCUCGGGAUCUCGGGGCUGUGGCUCUUGCAGCGUGCUUCUGACCUAUCAACUAGACGGCAGCCUAAGGGACAUGCUUUGGUGACAACGGGUACAGAGGAUAAGGGUUCGAUCCUGGAGAGUGGGCCUGAGAGAUU
rnacentral:rRNA from 1 species